UGGAAGAAGCUAGUAGAAAAAUAUAAGCGGAACAAAGGUCGGACCUCGAGGGUGGCAGUACCAUAGGAGCGGUUCUACCGCUCCCUAGAGCGGUACUUUUGCUUAUAAACUUCUAGGUACUUAGAGGCAGAACAGAGGCUCAGUUGCUCCAGGAAUCGAUCGGCUGGAAGUGAGUAUGAGUUUGUUACUCCCAACCUUUCCAUAUGGGGAUCCCCUCUUGAUAGUACGGGUUUACCUAUGACUCAAGUUCACCAACACUAAAUCGAUAGACAAGCACUUUGUCAUGGUGUUGUCACAUCAGAUGUCCUUGUAAAAGGACUUAGUGGUGAGGCCAUCAUCGCGAUGUGGCGACUCGAAUGGGUUGGUUGGGAACGAGAGAAGGAUUUACCUAGGUUCGGCCCCUCCGAUGGAGGUAAAAGCCUAAGUUUCGCUUUGUGUCUAUAUUGAUGGGAAUCUCGACACAAGGGUGCGGAAUCGCCAACCUAGCUCUCGAGGUUUUCUUACUUGAUCUCCUUGGCUCGAGGGCUCUCCUUUCCAUGUUAGGAAGAGGCCCCAAGUUUUACAACAUAGCC
rnacentral:lncRNA from 1 species